CUGCUUGGUUUUGGCAGCACAUAUACUAAAAUUGGAACAAUACAGAGGAGAUUAGCAUGGCCCCUACGCAAGGAUGACACACAAAUUUGUGAAGCAUUCCACAUUUUU
rnacentral:snRNA from 1 species